UUACGGGAGGCAGCAGUGAGGAAUAUUGCGCAAUGGGGGAAACCCUGACGCAGCGACGCCGCGUGGGUGAAGAAGGCCUUCGGGUUGUAAAGCCCUGUCAGGUGGGAAGAAGUGCAUUAUGGCUAAUAUCCAUAAUGUUUGACGGUACCACCAAAGGAAGCACCGGCUAACUCCGUGCCAGCAGCCGCGGUAAUACGGAGGGUGCAAGCGUUGUUCGGAUUUACUGGGCGUAAAGGGCGCGUAGGCGGUCUUAUAAGCCAGAUGUGAAAGCCCACGGCUCAACCGUGGAAGUGCAUCUGGAACUGUGAGACUUGAGUAUGGGAGAGGAAAGUGGAAUUCCCGGUGUAGAGGUGAAAUUCGUAGAUAUCGGGAGGAAUACCGGUGGCGAAGGCGACUUUCUGGACCAAUACUGACGCUGAGGCGCGAAAGCGUGGGUAGCAAACAGGAUUAGAUACCCGAGUAGUCC
rnacentral:rRNA from 1 species